AAAGUGUCUCCGUUAAGAGGGU
rnacentral:miRNA from 1 species